AAUUAUGGGCCCAGUUUUUGAGAUCUAAAUGAAGUUCGAAAAUCGCCGUUAGGGGCGCUUGUGAUGAUUGGGAUACUAGAAAUACACAGCUUCUUAUGGCAAGAAUAACUAUUUUGUUAUAAAUUAUAGAGCCAAGUUAAUAUUUGGGCAUAUUUUUACCAGAGUUAGCUUUUAGAAACGUGGUUUUUCUAAUUGAGCAAUGUGCGUGGCUAAAAUUGUGAAUACAAAACCUUAAAUUUGAGUUUGAAAAUGCAUACACGACCGAAGAAACAUAUAAGCUGCUAAAAUAAAUCUUCCCUAGAACUGUUGUACAAAAAAGAUAGAAGUUCCAGCAACAAAUUUAUCACCAGUUCAACCUUUGAUUUGAUGUAAACAGUAAUUGUUUCUUGAUGAGAAAUGCGAAUGAAAUAGUUUAUGGUGUGAUUGUGUUAGUGUUUUAUUAAUAGUUUUGUUGAUGCAGUUUAAAGGUUCAUAGUUUUUCAUUAAAACAUUUGAAAUUGACAUGUUUACAUGCAGUUUAGUGUGAUACCAUUUUAAUAAACAUUAAAAUCUUUCGAACUA